UCAGAAUGAACGUUGGCGGCGUGGAUUAGGCAUGCAAGUCGAGCGAGAAUUUGAAAUUGGAAGCUUCGGCCGAAGAGAUCAAAGGAAAGACGGCAAACGGCGUAGUAAUGCGUAGGUACAUGCCCUCGGGUUGGGAAUAGCCACGGGAAACUGUGGGUAAUGCCCAAUAAUCUCUGCGGAGCAAAGGUGUGAUUCCGCCCGAGGAGUGGCUUACGUGAUAUUAGCUUGUUGGUGGGGUAAUGGCCUACCAAGGCGACGAUGUCUAGGGGGUGUGAGAGCAUGGCCCCCACGACCGGAACUGAGACACUGUCCGGACACCUACGGGUGGCUGCAGUCGAGAAUCUUCCGCAAUGGGCGAAAGCCUGACGGAGCGACGCCGCGUGCGGGAUGAAGGCCCUUGGGUUGUAAACCGCUGUCAGAGGGGAUGAAAUCAUGGUUGGCUAUCCUUCCAUGUUGACAGAGCCUCAGAGGAAGCACGGGCUAAGUACGUG
rnacentral:rRNA from 1 species